rnacentral:rRNA from 1 species
GACGAACGCUGGCGGCGUGCUUAACACAUGCAAGUCGAACGGAAAGGCCCUGCUUUUGUGGGGUGCUCGAGUGGCGAACGGGUGAGUAACACGUGAGUAACCUGCCCUUGACUUUGGGAUAACUUCAGGAAACUGGGGCUAAUACCGGAUAGGAGCUCCUGCUGCAUGGUGGGGGUUGGAAAGUUUCGGCGGUUGGGGAUGGACUCGCGGCUUAUCAGCUUGUUGGUGGGGUAGUGGCUUACCAAGGCUUUGACGGGUAGCCGGCCUGAGAGGGCGACCGGCCACAUUGGGACUGAGAUACGGCCCAGACUCCUACGGGAGGCAGCAGUGGGGAAUAUUGCACAAUGGGCGGAAGCCUGAUGCAGCAACGCCGCGUGCGGGAUGACGGCCUUCGGGUUGUAAACCGCUUUCGCCUGUGACGAAGCGUGAGUGACGGUAAUGGGUAAAGAAGCACCGGCUAACUACGUGCCAGCAGCCGCGGUGAUACGUAGGGUGCGAGCGUUGUCCGGAUUUAUUGGGCGUAAAGGGCUCGUAGGUGGUUGAUCGCGUCGGAAGUGUAAUCUUGGGGCUUAACCCUGAGCGUGCUUUCGAUACGGGUUGACUUGAGGAAGGUAGGGGAGAAUGGAAUUCCUGGUGGAGCGGUGGAAUGCGCAGAUAUCAGGAGGAACACCAGUGGCGAAGGCGGUUCUCUGGGCCUUUCCUGACGCUGAGGAGCGAAAGCGUGGGGAGCGAACAGGCUUAGAUACCCUGGUAGUCCACGCUGUAAACGGUGGGUACUAGGUGUGGGGUCCAUUCCACGGGUUCCGUGCCGUAGCUAACGCUUUAAGUACCCCGCCUGGGGAGUACGGCCGCAAGGCUAAAACUCAAAGGAAUUGACGGGGCCCCGCACAAGCGGCGGAGCAUGCGGAUUAAUUCGAUGCAACGCGUAGAACCUUACCUGGGUUUGACAUGGAUCGGGAGUGCUCAGAGAUGGGUGUGCCUCUUUUGGGGUCGGUUCACAGGUGGUGCAUGCCUGUCGUCAGCUCGUGUCGUGAGAUGUUGGGUUAAGUCCCGCAACGAGCGCAACCCUUGUUCACUGUUGCCAGCACGUUAUGGUGGGGACUCAGUGGAGACCGCCGGGGUCAACUCGGAGGAAGGUGGGGAUGACGUCAAGUCAUCAUGCCCCUUAUGUCCAGGGCUUCACGCAUGCUACAAUGGCUGGUACAGAGAGUGGCGAGCCUGUGAGGGUGAGCGAAUCUCGGAAAGCCGGUCUCAGUUCGGAUUGGGGUCUGCAACUCGACCUCAUGAAGUCGGAGUCGCUAGUAAUCGCAGAUCAGCAACGCUGCGGUGAAUACGUUCCCGGGGCU